UAAGAUGUUUCACUAUAUAUUUAUUCAUCACAUUUCAAAAGAAUAUUUGUUUAUAAACAUGAUAAAAAAUAAAUUUGUAUAAAAGUUGAUAAAAAAAUUGUUUGUUUGUAGUUAUAGGGAGCUCGCAGAAUAUUGAGAUUUGUGAGUACUGCUCAAUGCUGUAUUGGAGAUUGCCAUGUAUGAAUGAAAAGUAAACAAGUUUUAAACUUUUUUUAAACGUAGUUUAUGUGGGUUCCCAGAAGAUAUUUUCAUCAAUUAGAACC